GACGAACGCUGGCGGCGUGCUUAACACAUGCAAGUCGAACGGAAAGGCCCCUUUGGUGGUUCUCGAGUGGCGUACGGUUGAGUAACACGGGAGUAACCUGCCCUUGACUUCUGGAUAGCUUCAUGCAACUGGGUCUACUACCGGAUAGGAAUCCUUUCUGCAUGGUGGGGGUUGGAUAGCUUCGUGGGUUUUGGAUGGAAUAGCGGCUUAUCAGCUUGUUGGUGGGGUAGUGGCUUACUGAGGCUUUGACGGGUUGCCGGCCGGAGGGGGGGACGGACCACAGUGGGACUGAGGAACGGCCCAGGCCCCUAAGGGAGGCAGGAGGGGGGAAUAGUGAACAAGGGGCGGAAGGCGGAUGCCGCAAGGCCCCGGGCGGGAUGACGGACUUGGGGUUGGAAACCGAAUUCAGCAGGGGAGAAGCUUGUGGUGACGGUACCUGAAGAAGAAGCACCGGCUAACUACGUG
rnacentral:rRNA from 1 species